rnacentral:rRNA from 1 species
UAGGAUAGAGGCCUACCAUGGUGGUAACGGGUAACGGGGUGUUAGGGCACGACACCGGAGAGGGAGCCUGAGAAACGGCUACCACAUCCAAGGAUGGCAGCAGGCGCGCAAAUUACCCAAUCCCGACACGGGGAGGUAGUGACAAUAAAUAACAAUACGGGGUUCUUUCGGAUCUCGUAAUUGGAAUGAGUACAAUUUAAAUCUCUUAACGAGGAACAAUUGGAGGGCAAGUCUGGUGCCAGCAGCCGCGGUAAUUCCAGCUCCAAUAGCGUAUAUUGAAGUUGUUGCAGUUAAAAAGCUCGUAGUUGAAUUUCGGGGUUAGUAGGUUGGUCAUGCCUCUGGUAUGUACUGAUCUCACUGAUUCCUCCUUCCUGAUGAACCGUAAUGCCAUUAAUUUGGUGUUGCGGGGAAUUUGGACUGUUACUUUGAAAAAAUUAGAGUGUUUAAAGCAAGCUAACGCUUGAAUACAUUAGCAUGGAAUAAUGAAAUAGGACGUUCGAUCCUAAUUUGUUGGUUUCUAGGAUUGACGUAAUGAUUAAUAGGGAUAGUUGGGGGCAUUAGUAUUCAAUUGUCAGAGGUGAAAUUCUUGGAUUUAUUGAAGACUAACUACUGCGAAAGCAUUUGCCAAGGAUGUUUUCAUUAAUCAAGAACGAAAGUUAGGGGAUCGAAGACGAUCAGAUACCGUCGUAGUCUUAACCAUAAACUAUGCCGACUAGGGAUCGGAUGA